rnacentral:lncRNA from 1 species
AUGGCUAUUGAGCCAGUAGUGUUAGCAGUGUUGGGAUUAAACUUCAUGCAACUGAGGGGGAGGAGGAGGAUUGUGUUCCUUGAGAUGUUCUGUGGGAGGAGAAGGAUUAUGCAUGUUCCUUAUGUAAUGAGGAAGAGUCUGGAGAACUUGAAUGUGUACAAGGAGGAGGUGGGAGUAAUUAUCCAGAAGUGGAAGUUCAUAAAAUGCUUGUGGUUAACUCAAGGCUAGAAGGACUCCCAAAGGUGUGAGGGAUUAAGUGCCAAACCAUGGUUAUUGGGAGCUGCGUUCUUGCCUGCUUGAAGUACUUGGAAUACCCUUGACCAUGGCUAAGUAUUGUUUCUCUUCUCUAUGAAGUGGUUGGAAUCUGAAGAGUUAAUUUUCAUUUUCCUUAAAGUUCACUAAUUGGGGAAAACACAGCAAAUAUCAUCGUGCUGACCUUUGAAAUCUGCCUGACUGUUCUGGGGCCUCGGUUUGGCUGCAGGCAGAGCGGAGGGAUGGAGAGAGAGCAGUUGUUGUGCAGGCACCAGCAAGGGUUAAUCAGCCUUGCCAGCGUGAACAAUGGAGACGGGGCAGCUUUAAACUAAACGAGCUGAAUAUUUCAUUCGGCCACUCAGCUGCCUGCUCCAAUUGCCUCCUUUGCUAAAACGGGAGCUUAAUCUAAAGUGACAACAACAUCAGUUUCUAUGUGCUCCAGUCACACAGAACAUGACUUCCUUAACAUAAACACUAUUUACAUGGAUCGUCUGGAUAUAGCAGGGAAUCAGGAGCGUGCCCAGCUAAGACAGAGGCUACAAUGAAGGACGAAUAACAGGCAGCUGAGAAUUAACAUCAGCAAAUGAAAGCCUGACCCUCAGAGGGCAUGUCCCUGUUACAUUUUAAAGCUAGAAAGCCUUGCACCAGUAACCUUACUUCCAGUAAAGACUAUAUAAUUUAAAAGAAAAUAGUACCUUUUCAGCUUAGAUACUUAACCAAACGCAUUACGUCUGACCCAUUUUCCUACUCCAUAUGACACAAGACGGAGGACCCCCAGCUGCAAUUACCGGUCUUU